rnacentral:rRNA from 1 species
AGACCCGAAACCCGGUGAUCUAGCCAUGGGCAGGUUGAAGGUUGGGUAACACUAACUGGAGGACCGAACCGACUAAUGUUGAAAAAUUAGCGGAUGACCUGUGGCUGGGGGUGAAAGGCCAAUCAAACCGGGAGAUAGCUGGUUCUCCCCGAAAGCUAUUUAGGUAGCGCCUCGUGAAUUCAUCUCCGGGGGUAGAGCACUGUUUCGGCUAGGGGGCCAUCCCGGCUUACCAACCCGAUGCAAACUGCGAAUACCGGAGAAUGUUAUCACGGGAGACACACGGCGGGUGCUAACGUCCGUCGUGAAGAGGGAAACAACCCAGACCGCCAGCUAAGGUCCCAAAGUCAUGGUUAAGUGGGAAACGAUGUGGGAAGGCCCAGACAGCCAGGAUGUUGGCUUAGAAGCAGCCAUCAUUUAAAGAAAGCGUAAUAGCUCACUGGUCGAGUCGGCCUGCGCGGAAGAUGUAACGGGGCUAAACCAUGCACCGAAGCUGCGGCAGCGACGCUUAUGCGUUGUUGGGUAGGGGAGCGUUCUGUAAGCCUGUGAAGGUGUGUCGUG